rnacentral:rRNA from 1 species
GACGAACGCUGGCGGCGUGCUUAACACAUGCAAGUCGAACGGAAGGGCCCUGCUUGCAGGGUGCUCGAGUGGCGAACGGGUGAGUAACACGUGGGUGAUCUGCCCCUUAUUUUGGGAUAAGCCCGGGAAACUGGGUCUAAUACUGGAUAGGUCCAUGCUGUAGGUGGUGUGGUGGAAAGAUUAGUUUCGGUAAGGGAUGAGCUCGCGGCCUAUCAGCUUGUUGGUGGGGUAAUGGCCUACCAAGGCGUCGACGGGUAGCCGGCCUGAGAGGGUGGACGGCCACAUUGGGACUGAGAUACGGCCCAGACUCCUACGGGAGGCAGCAGUGGGGAAUAUUGCACAAUGGGCGCAAGCCUGAUGCAGCGACGCCGCGUGGGGGAUGACGGCCUUCGGGUUGUAAACUCCUUUCAGCCAUGACGAAGCCCUUGUGGUGACGGUAGUGGUAGAAGAAGCACCGGCUAACUACGUG